CCAGAGCUGGUAUGGCCUCGUAUUCCUUGUUGGAGGCGAGGCGAUGCCAACUGCUGUCGGCUGAUCGCUGCAGCUGCUCUGGCUGG
rnacentral:tRNA from 1 species